rnacentral:lncRNA from 1 species
GAAGAGGGCAAAAUAUUUUCUCCCAAAUGAGAGCAUGUUUGUUUAUUUUUCAGUAUUUUUUAAAACUACGGUUCGAGAAGGAAAAAUGUGCCUUAAUUGUCCACAGCUUGCUGGUGCUUUUGUGUGUGAGAUAGGGCAGUCCAGACUGGCUUGUUCCUGUCUCCAUGCCUGUCUGCUAAAGAGAUGCUCUGUUGGGUGCAUAUCAUGUAGAUGAUCUGAUUAUUGCAGAGAAAUAAAGAAGUUACAUUUUCUUUUCCAGUCUGAGUGAGGAUGCAAUGUUUUCCAGGAAGUGAACAGCAUAGCAGUAGAUGUUUUGACCUGUGGAAAGCAUCACUUAAUUCUGUAAAGUGUUAAGUGAAAGUUUUAAACCAUGAGUUGACCUUUGGCCUGUGAAGCUGAAUAAAUUGUUCAAAUCUUACCCCUAAAUGUCUCAUUACACAGCCUGAGCUGGCACUGGAAAGGAUUGAAGUGAAGAAGAUGUGUGCGCUCUGAACCCCUGAAGCAUGAGCCUCACUCCGUCCAACAGAAGGUGGUGCUGAGAGCAUUUUCUACAAAGAACACAAGAUGCAAACAGAAGCUGUAUUUUUCUCCAUAAAAUCCACACCAUUGGACCAAUGCGCUUUUGCAGUAAUAGCCAUGGCCUGUGAAAUCUGUGUUAACUUCAGCCAGGGCUAGAACCCACAGUCAUUCUGCCAGCUUCUCUGGGUCAUUAAGAAAAGGACAUGAGACAAGAAGAGGGAGAUCUGCAGAAGCCAAAUGAGGAAAUUAUGAUGAAAUAUUUGACCUACAUCGGGAAAUGUCAAUUAAAAUAAGGUACACUUGCCUGAUGCAUAUGGAGACUGAAGUAGCAGUAAUUUUCCAGCUUCUCGUUCUACUAGUUACCAACCAGCUCUACGAGCAAAAACAUCUGGGAAGCCAGAUACCAUUGGUAGAACAGGUUUUGUUUCUUUUUAUUUCCAGAAGUGCUCUAAAAUUCAUGCUCCGAAAAUCGCCAGAGGAAAAGAAUACGGGUUUGUAGUGAAAAUCUCUCUUUCACAAGAAAAGGCAUUAGAGAUAAAUUUCUUGAUUUUCCCCUGUGUUUGAUCUCCAUACAACUGACAUCCUUGUUUACGUGAUGGCUUCAGCAAGGGAGGCCGGGAAGUUAUGUGAGAGAAUGUUGGAAGACAUUCUUUUUCAAAGAUAGCCCACAAGCGUCCAGGGAGACUGCAUAAGGUACCAGAC